UGAAGGCUUGGUAACAGUAGCAGCUUGAGCCUAGCCGAUGAACGAAAUAACCGUUUUGUCCUUUGAAAAAAAUAAUUUACAUCCUUGCCAUUCGACACACGUCGCACCGAGUGGUGUUGGAACUGUUGAUUUAUUGCUGCGUGUUUGCUCUGGAGAAGGACAAGUACUCCUUUGAUCUGCGUGAAGAGAGAAAGAGAAAGAGGACGAAAGGGAUAUGCUGAUCCUUUUGUUUCUUUUCUCUGGGCAAGUCGAGACAGAUAGAGAGAGCGUGCUGAACUUCGUAGACUCCAAGUGGAGAUUGUUUGGUGAUGACAUUGGCUUGAAGAAUUUUGGGGAUUUGGCGGAAUGGGUUUAGCCCCUCAUUGUUUCUUUAAUACAACGGUGCCAUUCGACUCAGGGAGAUAGAGGUCUUCUGCGAGAGACAUGCACAGAAAGAAGAAGAGGGAAAUUCACAUCCCGAGACUGAUCGGAGAGAGAAGGAGAAGCAUCUUUUUGAUAGUACAAAUAUAAGAAGAGGGAGACGGCAAGGAAAGCAUGAAUAGGUGAGAUUGAGGAAAAGAGAGGAGACAAUUUCUGGGUUCUGCCGACACAGGGCAAAAGAGAUGAGACUAGGAAAAAAAAAAAAAAGAGAGAAGAGAUUUUGGGGUUGCUGAUAGGGGUUUCUGAUUCGAUAGAGAGGAUGAGCAAGGAGACGGGAAGAGCAUCAAUCUGGGUAUUUGAUUUUUGGUUUUUGUUUUUUUUCUUCUGAUUUCUCAUGCAUUGGUUUGUUGUCUUUGUUGUAGUUGGGUUUUGAUGAGGAAGCAGAACAUGAAUUUGGUGGUUUGACGCUGUUCUGCAUCUGCCUGGGAAGAGUACUGCUGUCGUCUUUGAGUUUUGGAUAAUAGGAUUUCGAAUAGAGACAAGCAGAGAGGAUAUUUAGUUUUUGGG
rnacentral:lncRNA from 1 species